CAGGUUUACCUGUGUGACUGCGUACCUUUUGUAUAAUGGGUCAGCGACUUAUAUUCUGUAGCAAGGUUAACCGAAUAGGGGAGCCGGAGGGAAACCGAGUCUUAAUUGGGCGUUAAGUUGCAGGGUAUAGACCCGAAACCCGGUGAUCUAGCCAUGGGCAGGUUGAAGGUUGGGUAACACUAACUGGAGGACCGAACCGACUAAUGUUGAAAAAUUAGCGGAUGACCUGUGGCUGGGGGUGAAAGGCCAAUCAAACCGGGAGAUAGCUGGUUCUCCCCGAAAGCUAUUUAGGUAGCGCCUCGUGAAUUCAUCUCCGGGGGUAGAGCACUGUUUCGGCUAGGGGGCCAUCCCGGCUUACCAACCCGAUGCAAACUGCGAAUACCGGAGAAUGUUAUCACGGGAGACACACGGCGGGUGCUAACGUCCGUCGUGAAGAGGGAAACAACCCAGACCGCCAGCUAAGGUCCCAAAGUCAUGGUUAAGUGGGAAACGAUGUGGGAAGGCCCAGACAGCCAGGAUGUUGGCUUAGAAGCAGCCAUCAUUUAAAGAAAGCGUAAUAGCUCACUGGUCGAGUCGGCCUGCGCGGAAGAUGUAACGGGGCUAAACCAUGCACCGAAGCUGCGGCAGC
rnacentral:rRNA from 1 species